CCUACGGGUGGCAGCAGUGGGGAAUAUUGCACAAUGGGGGAAACCCUGAUGCAGCGACGCCGCGUGAGUGAAGAAGUAAUUCGUUACGUAAAGCUCUAUCAGCAGGGAAGAAACACUGACCUUACGGUCAGCAGACGGUACCUGAGUAAGAAGCCCCGGCUAACUACGUGCCAGCAGCCGCGGUAAUACGUAGGGGGCAAGCGUUAUCCGGUUUUACUGGGUGUAAAGGGAGCGUAGACGGUGCGCCAAGUCUGGAGUGAAAUGCCGCAGCUUAACUGCGGAACUGCUUUGGAAACUGGCGAACUAGAGGGCGGGAGGGGUAAGCGGAAUUCCUAGGGUAGCGGUGAAAUGCGUAGAUAUGAGGAGGAACACCGGUGGCGAAGGCGGCUUACUGGACCGUAACUGACGUUGAGGCUCGAAAGCGUGGGGAGCAAACAGGAUUAGAUACCCCUGUAGUC
rnacentral:rRNA from 1 species